UGGAUUACUCUGGAACCUACCUGCCAUACUUAUGGCCAGGCUAACGUCCGGUCUAGUGCACAACAUUGCAUACAUGAUAGAACCUAUGGCUGAAGCAUAGGGGGGCGGUGCUCAUAUGCUCUCUAUCCUCAUCAGUUGCUGGGCACUGAGUCUUACUCAAUCUCGUACCUUGUAAAACUGGCAAGACCCUUUCUUGGACUAUUCCAUUUUGAACCUCUUCAAAACUUUAUCAAGGUAUGUGCUUUGUGAAAGUCCUAUCAGGCAUUUUGAUCUAUCCCGGUUGAUCUUAAUGCCUAGAAUGUAAGCAGCUUCUCCUAGGUCCUUCAUAGAGAAACUUUUAUUCAAGUAAUCCUUUAUGCUCUCCAAAAACUCUACGUUGUUUCCAAUCAGCAAUAUGUCGUCCACAUAUAAUAUUAGAAACACCACAGAGCUCCCACUCACUUUCUUGUAGAUACAAGAUUCUCCAACCACUUGUAUAAACCCAAAUGCUUUGAUCACCUCAUCAAAGCAUUUGUUCCAACUCCGAGAUGCUUGCACCAGUCCAUAAAUGGAUUGCUGGAGCUUGCACACUUUGUUAGCAUUCUUAGGAUCGACAAAACCUUCGGGUUGCAUCAUAUACAACUCUUCCUUAAGGAAACCGUUAAGGAACGCCGGUUUGACAUCCAUCUGCCAGAUUUCAUAAUCGAAAAAUGCAGCUAUUGCUAACAUGAUUCUGACGGACUUAAGUAUCGCUACGGGUGAGAAUGUCUCAUCGUAGUCAACUCCUUGAACUUGUGAAAAACCCUUUGCCACAAGUCGAGCUUUAUAAACGGUCACAUUGCCGUCAGCGUCCGUCUUCCUCUUAAAGAUCCAUUUGUUCUGAAUAGCCUUGCGGCCCUCAGGUAGUACUUCCAAAGUCCACACUUUGUUCUCAUACAUGGAUCUUAUCUCAGACUUCAUGGCUUCUAGCCAUUUGUUGGAAUCCGGGCCCACCAUUGCUUCUUCAUAACUUGCAGGUUCAUUGUUGUCUAACAACAUGAUUGACAAGACGGGAUUACCGUACCACUCUGGAGCAGCACGUGGUCUCGUCGACCUGCGUGGUUCGAUAGGAACUUGAACCGGAGUUUCAUGAUCAUCAUCAUUAACUUGCUCCUCAACCGGCGUCGCAACGACAGGGGUUUCCCCUUGCCCUGCGCCACCAUCCAGAGGGAUGAGAGGUUCGACAACCUCAUCAAGUUCUAUCUUCCUCCCACUUAAUUCUCUCGAGAGAAACUCCUUCUCGAGAAAAGCUCGUUUUUAGCAACAAACACUUUGCCCUCGGAUUUGAGAUAGAAGGUGUACCCAACUGUCUCUUUUGGGUAACCUAUGAAGAUGCACUUUUCCGCUUUGGGUUCCAGCUUUUCAGGCUGAAGCUUUUGACAUAAGCAUCACAUCCCCAAACUUUAAGAAACGACAACUUUGGCCUUUUUCCAUACCACAGUUCGUAUGGUGUCGUCUCAACGGAUUUUGAUGGUGCCCUAUUUAAAGUGAAUGCAGCUGUUUCUAAUGCAUAACCCCAAAACGAUAACGGCAAAUUGGUAAGAGACAUCAUAGAUCGCACCAUCUCUAAUAAAGUACGAUUACGACGUUCGGACACACCAUUACGCUGUGGUGUUCCAGGCGGUGUCAACUGUGAAACAAUUCCACAUUGUCUUAAGUGAGCACCAAACUCGAAACUCAAAUAUUCACCCCCACGAUCAGACCGUAGGAACUUGAUCUUCUUGUUACGAUGAUUUUCAACUUCACUCUGAAAUUGCUUGAACUUUUCAAAUGUUUCAGACUUGUGCUUCAUUAAGUAGACAUAACCAUAUCUACUCAAAUCGUCAGUGAAGGUGAGAAAAUAACGAUAUCCGCCGCAUGCCUCUACGCUCAUCGGACCACACACAUCGGUAUGUAUGAUUUCCAACAAGUCACUUGCACGCUCCAUUGUUCUCGAGAACGGAGUUUUAGUCAUCUUGCCCAUGAGGCAUGGUUCGCACGUAUCAAGUGAAUCAAAGUCAAGUGACUCCAAAAGUCCAUCGGCAUGGAGUUUCUUCAUGCGGUUUACACCAAUAUGACCUAAGCAGCAGUGCCACAAAAAUAUGGCGCUAUCAUUGUUAACUCUAACUCUUUUGGUCUCAAUGUUAUGUAUGUGUGUAUUGCUAUAAAGAUACAAUAUGAACAAUCCUCUCACAUUGGGUGCAUGACCAUAAAAGAUGUUACUCAUAGAAAUAGAACAACCAUUAUUUUCUGACUUAAAAGAGUAACCGUCUCGCAAUAAACAAGAUCCAGAUAUAAUGUUCAUGCUCAACGCAUGCACUAAAUAACAAUGAUUCAAGUUCAUAACUAAUCCUGAUGGUAACUGAAGUGAAACUGUGCCGACGGCGAUUGCAUCAACCUUGGAACCAUUUCCUAUGCGCAUCGUCACUUCAUCUUUCGCCAGCCUUCGUCUAUUCCGCAGUUCCUGUUUCGAGUUGCAAAUAUGAGCAACAGAACCGGUAUCGAAUACCCAGGCACUACUACGAGAGGCCGGUUAAGUACACAUCAAUAACAUGUAUAUCAAAUAUACCCGAUUUUUCUUUGGCCGCCUUCUUAUCAGCGAGAUACUUGGGGCAAUUGCACUUCGAGUGACCCAUACCCUUGCAAUAGUAACACUCUGUUUCAGGCUUAGUCCAGCUUUGGGUUUCUUCGUCGRAUUGGCAACAGGCUUGCCGCUCUUCUUUGAAUUACCCUUCUUGCCUUUGCCGUUUCUCUUGAAACUAGUGGUCUUAUUCACCAUCAACACUUGAUGCUCUUUACGGAGUUCAGACUCUGCGACUUUCAGCAUCGCAAACAACUCGCCGGGUGACUUGUUCAUCCCUUGCAUGUUGUAGUUCAACACAAAGCCCUUAUAGCUUGGCGGCAGUGAUUGAAGAAUUCUGUCAGUGAUAGCCUCUUGUGGGAGUUCUAUCCCCAGCUCAACUAGACGGUUUGAGUACCCACACAUUUUGAGCACAUGUUCACUGACAGACGAAUUCUCCUCCAUCUUGCAAGCAUAGAAUUUAUCGGAGGUCUCAUACCUCUCGAUCCGGGCGUUCUUCUGAAAGAUAAACUUCAACUCCUGGAACAUCUCAUAUGCUCCAUGACGCUCAAAGCAACGUUGAAGUCCCGGCUCUAAGCCAUACAAGACUGCACAUUGAACUACUGAGAAGUCCUCCUUACGUGUUAACCAAGCAUUCUUAACAUCUUGGUCAGCCGUAGCGGGUGGUUCAUCUCCUAGCGCAGCAUCAAGGACAUAAUCCUUCUUCCCAGCUUGUAGGAUCAACUUAAGAUUACGAGCCCAGUCUACAAAGUUGCUUCCAUCAUCUUUCAACUUAGCUUUCUCUAGGAACGUAUUAAAAUUUAGGGUGACUGUCGCGUGAGCCAUGAUCUACAACAAAAAUAUAUUCAAAGUGGACUUAGACUAUGUUCAAGAUAAUUAGAGGUUAACUUAAUCAAAUUACUUGCUAAACUCCCACUCAAAAAGUACAUCUCUCUAGUCAUUUGAGUGGUUCAUGACCCACUUACACUAGCUCAAGUCCGAUCAUCACGUGAGUUGAGUAUAGUUUCAGUGGUAAGCAUCCCUAUGCUAAUCAUAUCAACUAUAUGAUUCAUGAUCGACCUUUCGGUCUCAUGUGUUCCGAGGCCAUGUCUGCACAUGCUAGGCUUGUCAAGCUUAACCCGAGUGUUCCGCGUGUGCAACUGUUUUGCACCCGUUGUAUGUGAACGUUGAGUCUAUCACACCCGAUCAUCACGUGGUGUCUCGAAACGACGAACUGUAGCAACGAUGCACAGUCGGGGAGAACACAAUUUCGUCUUGAAAUUUUAGUGAGAGAUCACCUCAUAAUUCUACCGUCGUUCUAAGCAAAAUAAGGUGCAUAAAAGGAUUAACAUCACAUGCAAUUCAUAAGUGACAUGAUAUGGCCAUCAUCACGUGCUCCUUGAUCUCCAUCACCAAAGCACCGGCACGAUCUUCUUGUCACCGGCGCCACACCAUGAUCUCCAUCAACGUGUCGCCAUCGGGGUUGUCAUGCUAAUCAUGCUAUUACUACUAAAGCUACAUCCUAGCAAAAUAGUAAACACAUCUGCAAGCACAAACGUUAGUUUAAAGACAACCCUAUGGCUCCUGCCAGUUUCCGUACCAUCGACGUGCAAGUCGAUAUUAUCUAUUACAACAUGAUCAUCUCAUACAUCCAAUAUAUCACAUCACAUCGUUGUCCAUAUCACAUCACAAGCAUACCCUACAAAAACAAGUUAGACGUCCUCUAAUUUGUUGUUGCAUGUUUUACGUGGUGACCAUGGGUAUCUAGUAGGAUCGCAUCUUACUUACGCAAACACCACAACGGAGAUAUAUGAACUGCUAUUUAACCUUAUCCAAGGACCUCAUCGGUCAAAUCCGAUUCAACUAAAGUUGGAGAAACCGACACUUGCCAGUCAUCUUUGAGCAACGGAGUUACUCGUAGCGAUGAAACCAGUCUCUCGUAAGCGUACGAGUAAUGUCGGUCCAAGCCGCUUCAAUCCAACAAUACCGCGGAAUCAAGAAAAGACUAAGGAGGGCAGCAAGACGCACAUCACCGCCCACAAGAACUUUUGUGUUCUACUCGAGAUUACAUCUACGCAUGAACCUAGCUCAUGAUGCCACUGUUGGGGAACGUAGCAUGGGAAACAAAAAUUUUCCUACGCGCACGAAGACCUAUCAUGGUGAUGUCCAUCUACGAGAGGGGAUUUCCGAUCUACGUACCCUUGUAGAUCGCACAACAGAAGCGUUAGUGAACGCGGUUGAUGUAGUGUAACGUCCUCACGUCCCUCGAUCCGCCCCGCGAACCAUCCCACGAACCGUCUCGUGAUCCGUCUCACGAUCUAGUGCCGAACGGACGGCACCUCCGCGUUCAGCACACGUACAGCUCGACGAUGAUGUCAUCCUUCUUGAUCCAGCAAGAGAGACGGAGAGGUAGAUGAGUUCUCCGGUAGUGUGACGGCGCUCCGGAGGUUGGUGGUGAUCUAAUCUCAGCAGGGCUCCGCCCGAGCUCCGCAGAAACGCGAUCUAGAGGUAAAACCGUGGAGAUACUGUCGUCGGGCUGCCUUGGAAAAGUUGUCUCAAAUUAGCCCUAAUUGCUCCAUAUAUAUAGGAGGAGGGAGGGGAGGCUUGCCUUGAGGCUCAAGGAGCCCCAAGGGCUGCGCCACCAAGGGAGGAGGAGUCCUCCUCCAAUCCUAGUCCAACUAGGAUUGGAAAGUGGAGUCCUUGUCUCCUUUCCCACCUCCUUUUUUUCUUCUUUUCUCUUUGAUUUUCUAUCUAUGGCGCAUAGGGCCUUUUUGGUCUGUUCCACCAGCCCACCAAGGGCUGGUGCGCCACCCCCAAGGCCUAUGGGAUUCCCCGGGGUGAGUUUCCCCCCCGGUGAACACCUGGAACCCAUUCGUCAUUCCCGGUAACUCCGAAAACCUUCCGGUAAUCAAAUGAGGUCAUACUAUAUAUCAAUCUUCGUUUCCGGACCAUUCCGGAAACCCUCGUGACAUCCGUGAUCUCAUCCGGGACUCCGAACAACAUUCGGUAACCAACCAUAUAACUCAAAUACGCAUAAAACAACGUCGAACCUUAAGUGUGCAGACCCCGCAGGUUCGAGAACUAUGUAGACAUGACCCGAGUGACUCCUCGGUCAAUAUCCAAUAGCGGGACCUGGAUGCCUAUAUUGGAUCCCACAUAUUCUACGAAGAUCUUAUCGUUUGAACCUCAGUGCCAAGGAUUCAUAUAAUCCCGUAUGUCAUUCCCUUUGUCCUUCGGUAUGUUACUUGCCCGAGAUUCGAUCGUCAGUAUCCGCAUACCUAUUUCAAUCUCGUUUACCAGCAAGUCUCUUUACUUGUUCCGUAAUACGAGAUCCCGCAACUUACACUAAGUCACAUUGCUUGCAAGGCUUGUGUGUGAUGUUGUAUUACCGAGUGGGCCUCGAGAUACCUCUCCGUCACACGGAGUGACAAAUCCUAGUCUCGAUCCAUACUAACUCAACUAACACCUUCAGAGAUACCUGUAGAGCAUAUUUAUAGUCACCCAGUUAUGUUGCGACGUUUUAUACACAUAAAGCAUUCCUCCGGUGUCAGUGAAUUAUAUGAUCUCAUGGUCAUAGGAACAAAUACUUGACACGCAGAAAACAGUAGCAACAAAAUGACACAAUCAACAUGCUACGUAUAUUAGUUUGGGUCUAGUCCAUCACGUGAUUCUCCUAAUGACGUGAUCCAGUUAUCAAGCAACAACACCUUGUACAUAAUCAGAAGACCGUGACUAUCUUUGAUCAACCGGCUAGCCAACUAGAGGCUUGCUAGGGACAGUGUUUUGUCUAUGUAUCCACACAUGUAUAUAAGUCUUCAUUCAAUACAAUUAUAGCAUGGAUAAUAAACGAUUAUCUUGAUACAGGAAUUAUAAUAAUAACUAUAUUUAUUAUUGCCUCUAGGGCCUAAUUCCAACAGGAAUAUGGGUAAUUCUUCUAUCUCUAGUGCAUGCAAUCAAGAGAUCCAAGUAUACUUAGCAAUCCUCUUUCUUCCAAGAGUGCCAUGAGCCUUUUCGUGUCUCCGACAAUUGGUUCUCUCAAGUAUUGAGGUCCAAACACCUAGAUCUUCACUGUAGCAAAUCUGGCCAUGGUGUUUGCACAUGUGCUCUCACGCAUCCGAAGGUACUCGUCCAACAAGUACGUGGCCGUGUCAUAUAGAAGUAUCCACAAUGCAGUCGUGCAUUAAUUAGAGAACCCUAUUCUUCCUACAACAUCCUUCUUCAAGAUGAAGUAGUUACCGUAGACCCGGACACCAUUGUAGAGGCCAUCAAACACAAGUUUUUGCAUCCGAAAGUGNNNNNNNNNNNNNNNNNNNNNNNNNNNNNNNNNNNNNNNNNNNNNNNNNNNNNNNNNNNNNNNNNNNNNNNNNNNNNNNNNNNNNNNNNNNNNNNNNNNNGUAGACGAAGGAAACCGGGAAAACCGAAACGAAAGUACAACGACCAAAACUAAUAAUUUACUACCAACCGGCGACGUAUAGCACGACAAGAAUAGCAAUCCAMCAUAUGAUGCAUGAACAGGGAAUACAUGCAAGACAUGGCAUGGCAAUUGACGACAAUCAAACACUACACAUUAAGUGAAGUUCAAUAUGCAACGAGUUGCAUUUUGACGAAACUCCACAUACGAAUUAUUUAAUUCCAUCCUGGUUAGGUACACGGCAAUAUUAAAUGUGGUUAAACAUGGCAAGCGGUGAAGCGUAAUUAAACUACCUAUCCAGGCAUUUUAAAUGAGGUCGGAAAUGACAUAUAGCACCUCUAAGACGACCUCACAUGUUAAUUAACAAUUAUGUCCAGAUCUGAACUAACAUAUUUUAAUAGUUGUUAAACAGCAAAAUAAAUAGGUUCACGUGAUUCUACGCAUCGUUACAAGCAAUUUACAAAUAGAGAACAUCUCCAACGGAGCUACGGUUCAAAAGAUACGAGCACCGCAAGAUAUGAUGGCAUGAAUGCAAUAUGUGUGCAACGAUAGUCACAAGCAUUUCAAAACAUACAACCAGCAAGAUAAUGUGAAACUACACGAGAUUCUAAGCAAGUUUCAUGUAGGACACGAUCAAAACGGAGCAACGGUUCAACAACUCCGAGCUAAACAAGAAAUCACUACAAACUGCCAAAAUCAGCCACAUAGCAUUUUCCACACCCCAUAACUACGAGUUACACAAAACCAAUAUGCUCAACCAAGGCAUGAGACGAUAGAGGGCAAGAUUCACUACCACAUGCAACUUAUAACACCUAGCAUGGAAGCAUGGAUCACUAGGAAAAGAAGUCAUAAAAUGGCUUCUCACACACAGUUUCAGACUUAGUAAAAAUAACAGUUUAUGAAACUGCAGUUUUCGAUCUAAAGACAUAUUGACAGCAGCAAAACCCUAAGCUACAGGACUCCAAUGGCAUGAAAAUUGACAACAUGCUAGAGAAUCCUAAAGUCUACAACUAACUCCAUUGCAUCAACCUCAAAAGAGUUAUAGAUCACCAGAUAAACUCAUGCAAAGACAACUACAAAAUAUAACAGAUUUCAGACUUAGAAAUAUUUCAGCAUCUCCAAAUCAGCACUAUUUCCUAGCAAGUUGAGAGCAAGCAAACCACACCUAAACAUGGAUUUCUAUUGCAACUAAAAUUACCAGGGUCUAGACUAAACAUCCAAGCGCAACUCUCUAGUUGACAACUCCUUCAUAUCAUGCACGGAUUAAAUCCCACAAAAUAGACAAGAGGGCAACCCAGCAAAAUAUCACGCUAACUAACUUGCUCAAAAGCUAAAACUAAAUGCAUAGUUAAAUUCUAUGGAUUUUUCUACCCCGAGAACAUAUAUAACAUGAGGGGUUGCAAAAUGAAAACAACGCCACACGUAUAUGCGGGAAUAUGUCCUAAACGCGAAAAAUAAACUAGCGACUAAACUCUACAUGCAAAAAUACAAUCAACUACUCUAAAAUACAUGGCAAUAACAUGAGUUUUAUCUACGGUGUUCGAACAAUCUGGACUGCACGAAAAAUAAAUACGGGAUAAUUCCAUAUUGGGACAGCACGCAAAUCUAGGCAUUUGGCGGGUCAAAUCACUUCACACAUGCAUGCAAGUUGCAAAUUACGAAUCUACGCGAAAAACUAAUCAAGAUCCAUAUACAACUCGCUCCGAUCCAACAUACGGAUUAAAAACUACGGACGUUCUAAUAUAUCUAUAUUCGUGAUAAUAACUAAUUCGAAAACUCUAAAAAACUAUCGGGCCAAAUCUGCUAAACUGGGCCAAAUAGUGCAUGGGCGCAAGAUACCUAAACUGUGCCAGAGGCGGGGAAUAGAGGCUCACCUUGGGGCCUCUUGGGCCGGCUCGGUGCAGUGGCUCGGGGUGGAGCUGGGCCGGCUGGGGAGCCGCCUGGCGAGGAGGCCAGGGCGUUGGGCCACGUGGGGGCGCGCGGCCCACACGAAGCGAGGCCGUCUGAGGUGGCGGUUGGUGCAGCCCAGAGGCGAAGGCGGCCCAGGCGUGCAGUGGGCGAGCGAGGCGCUGGCGGCUCGUCGUACUUCUAGCCGAGCUGCGCGAGCCAGUGGCGGCGGCCGGUCGGGCGGUGGGGGUCGGUUCCGGUGAGCGAGGGACUCCCGGCCGGAGGGUCGGCCGGGGCGUCGGGGNNNNNNNNNNNNNNNNNNNNNNNNNNNNNNNNNNNNNNNNNNNNNNNNNNNNNNNNNNNNNNNNNNNNNNNNNNNNNNNNNNNNNNNNNNNNNNNNNNNNUUUAGGUAACGGUAGGGAGGUAAUUAGCCAUGUAUUUCCUAUCCCCAUGUGUGCCUUGAUGAAUAAUUAGCUAGCCAAGAAAAGAAAACAAAUGAAAAUUAGUCAUCCAUGGCAUUUGUCAUGUUGGUUCAAGGGAAUUGUCAUGCUACAUAAAUAGAGAAAAAUUGAAAAUUAGCAUGCCCUAAAAAAGGAAAUUGUCAUCCUAAAUAUGUUUGCUCAGAUUGUUAUCGUAAGCGAUCCGUAUAAUGUCCUCACAGUUUGCUCAGAGAGGUGUUUGGAAGCAAACAUUUUAGGAUUCGUGCACGAGCAAACAUGUCUAAGAGUUUUCGCUUGGAAUGGCAAAAAGUUAACAUCAGAUCGUUAGCAUUUGGAAAUUAUUAAUACUAGUCGUGAUAUAACCCAGAAAACGAAACAAAUGCCACCUGAGUGUUUUUAAAAAUUGGACUAAAAAAAUGUACAAUCAUAUUAUAAUCCAGUGAUGAAAUAAAAAAAGACAUCAACAAAGAUACAUUCUGCCUAUAUUUGGUAACCUUUUGCCAAAACUUUAUCCCUACCAUGCAGGGUUGCUUGUUUCAGUUUCCUUUUAGCACACCUAUAAUUUUGCAAAAUCAUAGUCCCUCCAUACGGAAUUUCUUGUCAUGAAAACGAAUAGAGAUGGGUGUAUCUAGAACUAAAAUACAUCUAGAUACACCGAUAUCCGCGACAAGUAAUUUCAGACGGAUGGAGUAUAUUACUGUGCUCGCAUGAACCAAGCACAUUAUCUAAACUGUGCUAGCUACAAAACAGGACAAAAUAAACAGGAAAUGGCUCGAACCAUAUCUAGCAGGACUCAAACUCAACCAUCUCAACAGAACAAAACAAAACAAAACUAUACAAGCAUCUAACCAGCAUAUAUUACAUUGGCACAUCUAUACGGGCAUGCUCACAUGCUCAGUAAUCCAGCAUCAAGUCGGUACAAAACCACACUAGUCAAGGAACAGAUCCGGUACAGCAAACACACAGGGCCAGAGUUUCAGACCGUCUUCUCGAGAAAAUGAAGCACAACCGCCCUGAGCCGCUCCACAAAAUUGCGGCACAGACAUAUACAUCCCACG
rnacentral:lncRNA from 1 species